ACGGGAGGCAGCAGUGGGGGAUAUUGCACAAUGGGGGAAACCCUGAUGCAGCGACGCCGCGUGCGUGAAGGAGUAUUUCGGUAUGUAAGGCUCUAUCAGCAGGGAAGAAAAUGACGGUACCUGACUAAGAAGCUCCGGCUAAAUACGUGCCAGCAGCCGCGGUAAUACGUAUGGAGCAAGCGUUAUCCGGAUUUACUGGGUGUAAAGGGAGCGUAGACGGCGAGGCAAGUCUGAUGUGAAAGCCAUGGGCUCAACCCAUGAACUGCAUUGGAAACUGUUUUGCUUGAGUGUCGGAGAGGUAAGCGGAAUUCCUAGUGUAGCGGUGAAAUGCGUAGAUAUUAGGAGGAACACCAGUGGCGAAGGCGGCUUACUGGACGAUAACUGACGUUGAGGCUCGAAAGCGUGGGGAGCAAACAGGAUUAGAUACCCUGGUA
rnacentral:rRNA from 1 species